UACGUAGGGUGCAAGCGUUGUCCGGAAUUAUUGGGCGUAAAGAGCUCGUAGGCGGUCUGUCGCGUCUGGUGUGAAAAUCCAGGGCUUAACCCUGGACCUGCAUCGGGUACGGGCAGACUAGAGUGCGGUAGGGGAGAUCGGAAUUCCUGGUGUAGCGGUGGAAUGCGCAGAUAUCAGGAGGAACACCAAUGGCGAAGGCAGAUCUCUGGGCCGAUACUGACGCUGAGGAGCGAAAGCAUGGGUAGCGAACAGG
rnacentral:rRNA from 1 species